AAUAUGUGCAAGAAUCUGCGAGAAGGUUUUUAAAAUCUCUUUCAUUUCUCUCUCAUCAUCGUUUCUGAUUUCAGCCUCUCUUCUCUCUCGAAACCUAGGGCUACGACAACGAUGCAGCCAUCAAACUCUAUGAUUCCAUCGCCCAUGGCUCAGCCUCCCCAGUACCGACCCCAGCAGUGGAUGCCACAGCAGACGCAGCAGGCGCAGUACCAGGUUCCUCCACCGCAACAGCCAGCGGCGGCGGCUGGGUACUACUAUCAGCAACCACCACCGGCUGCGCCGACGCAACAGCCAGAGCAGUACGGCGUCGGGCCUGUGGCUCAGGCUCCAGCCGACGACGGGAUCCGGAGCCUGUGGAUUGGAGAUCUUCAAUACUGGAUGGAUGAGCAGUACAUCUACAGUUGUUUUGCUUUGACUGGCGAGGUGGUGUCUGCUAAAGUCAUCCGCAACAAGCAAACUGGCCAAUCAGAAGGUUAUGGCUUUAUUGAGUUUGUCAGUCAUGCUGCCGCAGAAAGAAAUCUGCUGACAUAUAAUGGCACUCAGAUGCCAAACACUGAGCAAACAUUCAGGUUGAACUGGGCAUCUAUGGGAGCUGGUGAAAAGCAUGAUGAUACUCCUGAAUACACAGUUUUUGUUGGAGACUUGGCAGCUGAUGUAACUGACUACAUGCUCCAAGAAACUUUUAGGGCUAACUAUUCCUCAGUCAAGGGUGCAAAGGUUGUAACAGAUAAAAUAACUGGACGCACAAAGGGCUAUGGAUUUGUGAGGUUUGGUGAUGAAAGCGAACAACUACGAGCCAUGGCUGAGAUGAAUGGAAGGUAUUGUUCAACCAGGCCCAUGCGAAUUGGCCCAGCUGCUAGCAAACAAAAAGUGGGUGUUCAGGCUAAAGCUUCAUACCAGACUUCUCAAGGAACACAGGGUGAGGAUGACCCUACUAAUACAACUAUAUUUGUUGGUAAUUUGGACUCUAAUAUCACAGAUGAGCAUCUGAGGCAGAUUUUUGGCCAAUAUGGACAGUUACUUCAUGUAAAAAUACCAGCAGGAAAACGAUGUGGAUUUGUUCAAUUUGCUGGACAUUACCAUUGUUACCUUCUCAUCACACACUUAAUUUAAACACCAAGAAAUCAGUAUGAAGGAUUUAUCAUGUUCUCUGCAUCUGCUAUAACAGAAGCUGUGCUGAGGAAGCUUUACGAAUGUUAAAUGGAACCCAGUUGGGGGGACAAAGCAUUAGACUCUCAUGGGGCCGUAGUCCUUCAAACAAACAGGUUGAUCAAAUCCAGUCCAAUGCUGGAUAUUAUGGAUAUGCCCCUGGAUAUGAAACCUAUGGAUAUGCUCAAGCAGCUCAGGAUCCAAAUUUGUACUACGGAGGUUACCAAGGAUAUGGAAACUACCCACCGCCCCCUCAACAACCACCUCAGUAAUCCGUUGUGAACGAAGUAGUGAAGAACAGAGGAGCUGUCAGUUAUUCCACUGCAGUAUCGGCUGUUGCUUGGUCUUAGGAACUACUUAUUGGCUUUAUAGUUGUUUUUAAUUCUGUCUGUUGAACCGAAUUUAGGUCGGCUUGGCUCAUUUUGGUGGUGUUAAAAUUUACUUUUUGCUUGCUCUUAUUUUUCAUUUUCGUCCAUACACUAUAAAGUUCGGAUCAUGCUUUUGUUGGCCGUUGAUCUCUAGUUGAGAGUUUCUGGCCGAGUUGCUUCGAGAAUUGCUGUAAAGUGGUACUUUAUUUACGUGUCCGACUUUUGAGGUUUAAAAUGGAACCUUAAUUUCAGUUUGGUGGUAA